GAUGAACGCUAGCUACAGGCUUAACACAUGCAAGUCGAGGGGAAACGGCAUUGAGUGCUUGCACUCUUUGGACGUCGACCGGCGCACGGGUGAGUAACGCGUAUCCGACCUUCCCAUUACUGUGGGAUAACCUGCCGAAAGGCAGACUAAUACCGCAUAGUCUUCGAUGACGGCAUCAGAUUUGAAGUAAAGAUUUAUCGGUAAUGGAUGGGGAUGCGUCUGAUUAGCUUGUUGGCGGGGUAACGGCCCAGCAAGGCGACGAUCAGUAGGGGUUCUGAGAGGAAGGUCCCCCACAUUGGAACUGAGACACGGUCCAAACUCCUACGGGAGGCAGCAGUGAGGAAUAUUGGUCAAUGGACGGAAGUCUGAACCAGCCAAGUAGCGUGCAGGAUCACGGCCCUAUGGGUUGUAAACUGCUUUUGUAUGGGGAUAAAGUUAGGGAC
rnacentral:rRNA from 1 species